rnacentral:rRNA from 1 species
UACAGAGGGUGCGAGCGUUGUCCGGAAUCACUGGGCGUAAAGGGCGCGUAGGUGGCGCUGCAAGUCGGUGGUGAAAGCUCGACGCUCAACGUCGAGUCGGCCAUCGAAACUGCAGGGCUCGAGCACUGUAGGGGCAGAUGGAAUUCCGGGUGUAGCGGUGGAAUGCGUAGAGAUCCGGAAGAACACCGGUGGCGAAGGCGGUCUGCUGGGCGAGUAGCUGGACACUGAUGCGCGACAGCGUGGGGAGCAACAGG